GUGUGUGUGUGUGUGUAUGAUUUAAGUUUAAUUCUUUACCGCACAGCAAUCUUUUGUCUUAUUCAUUAUUUCAAUCCUUAGGUUAAAUUCCUAGGUAUACUAGCAAGCAAUAGACAGACAAGAUAGAUAGAUGAAGUAAAAGAUGAAGGUAGUAGAAGUUGAAGGUAAUGAUAUGAGAUCACCUGAAGAUACUAGGACCGAUACGAUACACAAAGCGUAGCGUCACGCUGUACAUCGUCGAUGGGGAGGUGCGUGUGCCGCCACGUUGUCAAAAUAAACGGCACUAUCGCGAUUUAUCUCGUUUCCCAUGAUAAUAAGAGAUAAAACUGCAUCCUUACAUUAGCUAGUAUAUCAGCUAAAAUGAUAAUUUCAGUCGUCGGAUUCGCCAGAAGCGCGUAGGGCCGCUCCUAUUCUCCUCCGCCGUGCCAGUCGAUGGGUAAAUCCCCGAGUAAAUCUUUUGUGAAUCCCCGAGGGAUUUAUGGGAACAUGGACCGGUAAACGUACCCUUGACCUGAGGUAUAUUGCGUCGAAAAUCGAUUAUCGUGAACAAGUGUAACCUAAGAAAAAUGUAACGAGGAAGGUCGAUCUAACUUCGUGCUUAUUUCUUGUCUUGUUUAAAGGAAAUUUUUCAAGUGUGAUCUAACGUUAGUGAAUAAUAACCCAGAAUAAAUUUUCCAUCUAGAUUUUCAUUUAAUCUACUUGAUGUAUGAUGGUAAAGUUUACAGAUGUAUGAUCAAAGUGAGAUAAUUCACAUGAGUAUAUACAUAAAACGUGAAUGAGUGUUCAUUCUCACGAAAAGAUGUAGAGCGUUAUAACCUGCGGAUGACAGAAAUGAAAUAUGGUGUGUAUUGAGAAUAUUACAGCGGUCUACCUGGAAAAUAACACGCGAUCAUCUUUCUGACGCGGACAUAAUGAAAAAAAAAAAUCCAGCAAAGAGGAUUUACGUCAUUAAACGAACACCUCGAGGCCAUUUUCUUUAUCAGCCGUAUAAAAACCCCUUAUCGUUGUACAUGAAAAAAAGUACUGGUUAUUUUCGUAGAGCUCCUUGACGAGGGAUCGGUUUACCUUACCAGGUACACCUAUCACACUUAUCAUUUUGCCGGAGGGAGGGGAACAAAGUUUGAAGGCGGAGGGUUGUAGUCAUGGUUACAGAGCAUACAUUGGAGUACUGCUGAUAAGAGGAUCAGCAGUUGAAUAUUAAAGCUUAUGGAUUACGCCAUUGCAAGACAAUGCAUACGUGGCUACAAAGAUUAGCCAACACAGUGCAUUAUCACCGAAAAUACACAAGGAUGAACCUUCUUUCGGUCGUUCAUUGACUUCUCUCAUCAACUGGAUGUUACAGACAGACGGUGUUAAAUGUAUGUAUGUAAUAGAUAAUCUAUUUUGAUAAAAAUAUGUUGUCUUUUAACUAACACAAUAAAUGGAAUUCUAAGAAAA